rnacentral:lncRNA from 1 species
AUUUACUUUACCGCAUAUUUAUUUUAUUUACUGUAUGGUGUAGGUUUAUUACUCAUACAAGCACGUUUACUUUAUCGCAAAUUUACUUUUACUUAAAGUAUGAUGUGGAAUUAACCCUCAUACUUUAUGAAUUUACUUUACCGCACAUUUAUUUUAUUUACUGUAUGGUGUAGGUUUAUUACCCAUACAACAGUAUUUAUUUAAAAGGGUGGUGCGGGUUUAUCGUCCACGCCUUUACUUUUAUUUAAAUGUAUGGAGCAGAAUUAGUGCCCAUACAAGCACGUUUA